rnacentral:rRNA from 1 species
UGGGGAAUAUUGGACAAUGGGCGCAAGCCUGAUCCAGCCAUGCCGCGUGAGUGAUGAAGGCCCUAGGGUUGUAAAGCUCUUUCACCGGUGAAGAUAGUGACGGUAACCGGAGAAGAAGCCCCGGCUAACUUCGUGCCAGCAGCCGCGGUAAUACGAAGGGGGCUAGCGUUGUUCGGAUUUACUGGGCGUAAAGCGCACGUAGGCGGACUAUUAAGUCAGGGGUGAAAUCCCGGGGCUCAACCCCGGAACUGCCUUUGAUACUGGUAGUCUUGAGUUCGAGAGAGGUGAGUGGAAUUCCGAGUGUAGAGGUGAAAUUCGUAGAUAUUCGGAGGAACACCAGUGGCGAAGGCGGCUCACUGGCUCGAUACUGACGCUGGGGUGCGAAAGCGUGGGGAGCAAACAGG